rnacentral:rRNA from 1 species
UACGUAGGGUGCAAGCGUUGUCCGGAAUUAUUGGGCGUAAAGAGCUCGUAGGCGGUCUGUCGCGUCGGCUGUGAAAACCCGGAGCUCAACUCCGGGCCUGCAGUCGAUACGGGCAAACUGGAGUGUUGCAGGGGAGACUGGAAUUCCUGGUGUAGCGGUGAAAUGCGCAGAUAUCAGGAGGAACGCCGGUGGCGAAGGCGGGUCUCUGGGCAACAACUGACGCUGAGGAGCGAAAGCGUGGGGAGCGAACAGG